GACGAACGCUGGCGGCGUGCUUAACACAUGCAAGUCGAACGGAAAGGCCCUGCUCUUGUUGGGCUCUCGAGUGGCGAACGGGUGAGUAACACGCGAGUAACCUGCCCUUAAAUUUGUGAUAUAUUCAGGAAACUCGGGCUAAUACCGCAUAGGAGAUCUUGCUGCACGUGGGGGGUUGGAAAGUUUCGGCUGUUGGGGAUGUUCUCGCGGCUUACCAGCUUGUUUGGCGGGUAGUGGCUUACCAAGGUUUUGAGGGGUAGCCGGCCUGAGAGGGUGACCGGCGACCUUGGGACUGCGAGACGGCGCAGACGGGUACGGGAGGCAGCAGUCGGGAACAUUACGGAAUGGGGGGACGCGUGAUGCAGCGAUGCCGGGUGCGGGAUGCCGGCCUUCGGGUUGUAAACCGAUUUGUCAUUAGCCGAAGCGUGCGUGACGGUACUGGGUAAAGAAGCACCGGCUAACUACGUG
rnacentral:rRNA from 1 species